UACAGAGGUGGCAAGCGUUGUUCGGAAUUACUGGGCGUAAAGGGCGCGUAGGCGGCCUUCUAAGUCGGACGUGAAAUCCCUCGGCUUAACCGGGGAACUGCGUCUGAUACUGGAUGGCUUGAGUUUGGGAGAGGGAUGCGGAAUUCCAGGUGUAGCGGUGAAAUGCGUAGAUAUCUGGAGGAACACCGGUGGCGAAGGCGGCAUCCUGGACCAAUACUGACGCUGAGGAGCGAAAGCCAGGGGAGCAAACGGG
rnacentral:rRNA from 1 species